CGCACAUUGCGCCCUUUGGCAUUCCGAGGGGCAUGCCCGUUCGAGCGUCAUUAAAUCCAAUCAAGCCUGGCUUGGUAUUGGGCGUCGGGGAGUCCCCGCGCCCCGAUUUCACCGGCCGACCGUCGCCUGUCUUAGCGUAGUGACACAUUUUCGUUAAAGACAAUCGCGGAUCGCGCCGUCAAAACCCUUCGAAAUUUCAUUAGAAAUUUGAUUAGGUUGACCUCGGAUCGGGUAGGAAUACCCGCUGAACUUAA
rnacentral:misc_RNA from 1 species